CCUACGGGUGGCAGCAGUGAGGAAUAUUGGUCAAUGGGCGAAAGCCUGACGCAGCGACGCCGCGUGAGGGAUGAAGGUCUUCGGAUCGUAAACCUCUGUCAGCAGGGAAGAACGGUCACUGUGCUAAUCAGCAGUGAAUUGACGGUACCUGCAAAGGAAGCACCGGCUAACUCCGUGCCAGCAGCCGCGGUAAUACGGAGGGUGCGAGCGUUAAUCGGAAUUACUGGGCGUAAAGCGCUCGUAGGCGGUAUGUCAAGUCAAGGGUGAAAUCCCCGCGCUCAACGUGGGAACUGCCUUUGAAACUGGCAAACUGGAGUGUGUGAGAGGAUAGUGGAAUUCCAGGUGUAGGAGUGAAAGCCGUAGAUAUCUGGAGGAACAUCAGUGGCGAAGGCGACUAUCUGGCACAUAACUGACGCUGAGGAGCGAAAGCGUGGGUAGCAAACAGGAUUAGAUACCCCAGUAGUC
rnacentral:rRNA from 1 species